rnacentral:misc_RNA from 1 species
UACGUAGGCGGCAAGCGUUGUUCGGAAUUAUUGGGCGUAAAGGGAGUGUAGGCGGUUUGUUAAGUCUUCUGUGAAAUCUACGGGCUUAGCCUGUAACGUGCAGAGGAAACUAGCAGGCUUGAGUGUCGGAGAGGAUAGGGGAAUACCCAGUGUAGAGGUGAAAUUCGUAGAGAUUGGGUGGAACACCAGUGGCGAAGGCGCCUAUCUGGCUGACAACUGACGCUGAGACUCGAAAGCAUGGGGAGCAAACAGG